AUGGUAUCAGCCAAGCGAUUCGCUUCCGCCCCUCUCCACUACCGCCGCCGCCCCAGGCUCCCACGCCGCCCCUCCUCUCCUGCCUCCGCCGCCACAGCCAUGUCUGCCACCGGCGAUCUUCCUCAUCCCCACGCCGCCCUUUGGGCUCAGGCCACUGCCAUCCAAAACGUCAAGAGCCUGAUCCCCGUCACCCUCGGCCUCAAGGCCUCAAACUUCAACAAGUGGCGUCGCUUCCUCGACAUCGCCGUCAGCCAAUACGCCAUCGCGGAUCACCUCGACACGGCGCCUCCUCCGGUCGACGAGGAAUGGCAGCGGAUGGACUGCACCGUCCUUCGUUGA
rnacentral:rRNA from 1 species